ensembl:lncRNA
GGGAAAUCCCAUGAACAGAGGAGCCUGAUGGGUUCCAGUCCACGGGGUCAAAAAAGAGUUGGACAUGACUUAGAGACUAAACAACAACAACAACCAGGAUUGUUCAGCAUUAUGGAAAGCAGCAGCAAGUAUAUACAGAGCAAUAUUACAGACUAGCCUCUCUGCUGGGAUACAAGAGCACUUGAGGCACAGGGUUUGCGGCAAAGUUAAUUAUCACCUAGAUAUGAAGACUGAAGAUGCCAAGACUGUAAACAGAAGUCAGAAAUUAUGGCUCCAGGCCUCCUAUUCUCUGCUGAUUUACUCAGUUGUCAUCUUCCUUUUGCCACCCAUUGCCCUACUUCUUCAAUAAAAUGAGCUCUUGCCUAA